rnacentral:rRNA from 1 species
GAUGAACGCUAGCGACAGGCCUAACACAUGCAAGUCAGGGGCAGCAUUAUUGAAGCUUGCUUUAAUAGAUGGCGACCGGCGCACGGGUGCGUAACGCGUAUGCAACCUACCCAUUACAAGAGGAUAGCCCAGAGAAAUUUGGAUUAAUACUCUAUAGUAUUUACUCUAAGCAUUUAGAGUUUUUUAAAGGAUUCGUUCUGGUAAUGGAUGGGCAUGCGUAUGAUUAGCUAGUUGGUAGGGUAACGGCCUACCAAGGCAAUGAUCAUUAGGGGUUCUGAGAGGAUAGUCCCCCACACUGGUACUGAGACACGGACCAGACUCCUACGGGAGGCAGCAGUGAGGAAUAUUGGUCAAUGGACGCAAGUCUGAACCAGCCAAGUCGCGUGCAGGAUGACUGCCCUAUGGGUUGUAAACUGCUUUUAUAUAGGAAUAAUGUUAGUUACGCGUAACUAUUUGAAUGUACUAUAUGAAUAAGCACCGGCUAACUCCGUGCCAGCAGCCGCGGUAAUACGGAGGGUGCAAGCGUUAUCCGGAUUUAUUGGGUUUAAAGGGUGCGUAGGCGGGUUCAUAAGUCAGUGGUGAAAGUCUGUCGCUUAACGAUAGAAUUGCCAUUGAAACUGUGGAUCUUGAAUACAGUAGAGGUAGGCGGAAUAUAUUGUGUAGCGGUGAAAUGCAUAGAUACGAUAUAGAACACCGAUUGCGAAGGCAGCUUACUAUGCUGAGAUUGACGCUGAUGCACGAAAGCGUGGGUAGCGAACAGG